rnacentral:rRNA from 1 species
AGAGUUUGAUCCUGGCUCAGAACGAACGCUGGCGGCGUGCCUAACACAUGCAAGUCGAGCGCGAAAGUCCCUUCGGGGGCGAGUAGAGCGGCGGACGGGUGAGUAAUACAUGGAUAAUCUGCCCUCGAGAUCGGGAUAACCCUGCGAAAGUGGGGCUAAUACCGGAUAAGACCACACAACACAAGUUGUGUGGUAAAAGGUGGCUUGAAUUUAUUCUGGCUAUCACUUGAGGAUGAGUCCAUGGCCUAUCAGCUAGUUGGUGAGGUAAUGGCCCACCAAGGCUAUGACGGGUAGCUGGUCUGAGAGGACAACCAGCCACACUGGGACUGAGACACGGCCCAGACUCCUACGGGAGGCAGCAGUGGGGAAUAUUGGGCAAUGGGCGAAAGCCUGACCCAGCGACGCCGCGUGGGUGAUGAAGGCCCUCGGGUUGUAAAGCCCUUUCGUGCGGAAAGAAUUAUCCCGCAGUUAAUAUCUACGGGAUUUGACGGUACCGCAGGAAGAAGCACCGGCUAACUCCGUGCCAGCAGCCGCGGUAAUACGGAGGGUGCAAGCGUUGUUCGGAAUUAUUGGGCGUAAAGGGCGCGUAGGUGGUUAUGUGUGUCAGAUGUGAAAUACUUCGGCUCAACUGAAGAACUGCAUCUGAAACUGCAUAGCUAGAGUAC